rnacentral:rRNA from 1 species
UACGAAGGAUGCAAGCGUUACCCGGAUUCAUUGGGUUUAAAGGGAGCGUAGGUGGCCUUAUAAGUCAGUGGUGAAAUCUCUCGGCUUAACCGAGAAGUUGCCAUUGAUACUGUAGGGCUUGAGUAUAGUUGCCGUUGGCGGAAUAUGACAUGUAGUGGUGAAAUACAUAGAGAUGUCAUAGAACACCGAUUGCGAAGGCAGCUGACGAAACUAUAACUGACACUGAGGCUCGAAAGUGCGGGGAUCAAACAGG